CGUUGUCCUCAGGGCGGGGUGGAAGUCCCCACCGGCGGUAUCCCGGCUUGGCCGGGGAGCCCGCGAGCGCCCGCGACGCAUCCGUGUCGCGGGGUCAGCAGACCUGGUGCGAAGCCAGGGCCGACGGUCACAGUCCGGAAGGAAGAGGAAAGAC
rnacentral:ncRNA from 2 species